UCAUCUGCAUCGCCGGAGCGUUUUCGCUGAAGCCGAGCGCUUUUUUUUCUUUGUCUCCCGCGCACUGCGCAUCUAAUAGCUCUUUCACACAGUCCGGCAGCACGUCGCCAUGCCUCCGAAAGGUUUGUUCAAGUCCGCGGCAAAGGCUCAGAGGGCAAAAGCCAAGAAGGAAAGGCAGCUGCUCGAGGCGCGUAUGAGGGAGUGCUACGAAAAAUGUGCUGAGGCCCGAGGAUAUCUAGAACCGACAGGUCGUAGCGCGGAGCCAAACUUCACCAAGGCCAAAACGGCACUGGAUGCUGCCAUUGAGGCAUACGACGCAAGCUCGCUUGCGUUCUUCCUGCUCGGGCAAUGGAACCGAAUGCAGGGAAUGUACAAGGAAGCGAUCGAGUGCUACUCUCACGCGCUGGACUUGGAGCCAACAAACGUGCAGGCUCUUGAAUGGCGCGCAAACUGCUUCCAAACCUUGCACGAUUACCUGCACGCCAUCGAAGACAAUACUAGUAUUAUCUCGCUAGAUCCAGAAAACGAUCAUGCGUACAACAUGCGUGGUCUUUGUGUUCUGCAGAGCAGCGUACCGGGGUUGCGCUUGCGCUCCGUUCAUUUUGAGUCCUGCGUGCGUGACUUUAGCGCCGCGGUCCGCCUCAACGAGGCCAACUACUACGCUAUGGCAAACUUGGGCAAGGCGUACGAGGUCCAAGGCCACUUGGAGAAGGCGAUCGAGUGCUACGGAAAGGCGCUCGACAGUAGUGAAGGCUAUGCCUACGCGAGGUUUCGCCGUGGGUGCACAGCGUUGCACAUGGCGGAGAGGUCAAUUCUGCGGCGAGAGGAGAGCGAAGGGAGUUCUGACAGCGACGCGCCGGAGGCAUCUGCCGACGCGGCAAAGGCAGUGCAUGGCAGCUCAACCCAACACAUGACAGAAGCGGCCUCCUCGACUAUUAGUCGAGUCCCUGGCGGCGCGACGACUCUCAAGGAGGUGAAGGCCGAGGUGCGCCAGCAAAUUGAGGAGGAGGAGGAAGCGCAGAAGGCAGCGAAGCUGUUGAAGCUGGCUGAUGGCGAUUUCACUAUGUUGCUAGACCGCAGCCCGGAGGCAAAGAUACUCACGGCGGAUGCGACCGUGGUGCUGAACAUCGGCAUUUGCGCACUUUUGAGCAAGAACAUCAACAGGGCGGAGGAGCAUCUGAAGCUCGCUCAGGAGAUCGUGGCAAAGAGACCGGGCCUUGUCGAGGAGGGGGAGGCGCCGCCGCUUGAAAACAUGGACACCUUCAACAGCGUACUGGCUAUUCGGUUGAAUGAGCUGCAGAAGUUGAAAGACAUGGCGAGAUCCGCGGCAUGAUAUCGCGUAUACGCCCUUUUUCUGCGCACAUGUACAGAUGUAAAAUACCGUUUUGUUCUUUGGAGCGUGCUACAUGGUGCUGAGGGUUUCAUUUUCCCCAAUGGUGCGCCUAGUGGUGCCCUAUGGGCUUCGCCUUGAUGCGAAGGCGAAGCUUGGCGAUGCGGCGACACCCUCGCACAUACGAAGUGGGGAGGACCCCGGUGAGUCGGGUUAUGCGUGUUACAACCUACGUCAAGAUAACGUACGCUGCGGCAAAACGCACACUCCCUUGAGUAGCUUACGAGGGGCCGGGCGGACUUGAGUCGAUAUUUGCGCACGCGGUGCUCGCAUCUCGUCAGACGACAAUGCGCACGCGUGCCAGUCAU
rnacentral:misc_RNA from 1 species